AGAGGGAGUUUCGCUCUUGUUGCCCAGGCUAGAGUUCAAUGGCAGGAUCUCGGCUCACUGCAACCUCUGCCUCCCGGGUUCAAGCGAUUCUCCUCUCAACCCAGCAGCUGAAAAGCUUCAAGAGAUCUAGGAAAAGACAUUUUCAUGUUAAUGAGAAUUUCCACCAUUGUAGAGAAUUUCCUUCCUACUGAGAAUCUACCUCUAUUCCCCCUGCCCUAGCUCUUCUCUAACUUGGUUAACCAUAACCAUAACCAGAUUCCCUUGCAAUCGAUUUCUCUUUAGUCGUUGGUGUUAGAAGUACCAGCACAAUUUGAGCAUUCCCAUUAACAAAGGUGUUCACAGUUGAGAAACUCUCCUGCCGGGCGCGGUGGCUCAUGCCUGUAAUUCCAGCACUUUGGGAGGCAGAGUUGGGAGGAUCACCUGAUGUCAGGGGUUUGAGACCAGCCUGGUCAACAUUGCAAAACCUUGUCUCUACUAAAAAUACAAAAAUUAGCUGGGCAUGGUGGCGCAUACCUGUAAUCCCAGCUACUUGGGAGGCUGAGGCAAGAGAAUCGCUUGAACCCAGGAGGCAGAGGUUGCAGUGAGCUGAGAUCAUGCCAUUGCACUCCAACCUGGGUGACAGAGUGAGACUCCAUCUCAAAAAAAAAAAAAAAGAGAGAAACUCUCCUGAUGCCCUGUUACAGGGUUUGCACUGACUGGAGCAGAAACAGCAACCUUUCUAAAAAAGCAAACCUUUUUCCUGGGAGGAAAAUGCCAGAGCCUGAGCCAAAAUUCUUAUGACAGGUAACAUUUGGGUGUUAAUGUCCAUGAGAGCUGACAGGGCCAUCUCUGAGCCCAUAUAACUGUCUGGAACCCCCAAAUGUGUCCACAGGUUGAAUGUCCAUGAGUGUGGGAAGAACACGGCUCAUCUGGAGCACAGCUGAGGCUAGUAAGAGCUAAAUGACUUUCCUUGCUAUGACUUGGCUUACCUGAAUUAGCUGUAAGAGUUGCCGAAUGGGAUGGGUUCUGCUAUUUAAUAAACAGCAUUCAUAUUCAUUUUUCCCCA
rnacentral:lncRNA from 10 species